rnacentral:lncRNA from 1 species
AUAAAUGUGAAUAUCGGAUUUGUUUUCACCUCGCGUUAUGAAGAAAAAAUCGUUUUGCACGAAAUGCGAUGAAAAUAAAAUGUUUUUUUUUUACAUUAUGAAUAAUCUCUAACUUAAGUGUCUUCUAUAAUUAUAAAUUUGCAAAUGGUGUUUUAGCUCGAUUAGUACACGGAAAUAUACUUUAGACCAAUAAACAGCACGAUUUUGUUCGCGUUUUAUUUCAUUGAUUAUAAAAACAUUUUCUAAACUUUAUCAGUGUUUAUGAUACUGUUGUGAAGAAUGUGAGUUUUCACGUUUUGACAUAUCAUUUACCCAAAGAAUUUCUAGGACAGAGGAAGAACAGAGCAUUCUUGUCUGGAAAAAAAAAACGUUCAUGAUUUAUAAUUUCAUAUUAUAAAAAAAACAGAUGUUUCCAAGGAAACGGAAUCGCAGGUAUUUAAAAACCAAUAUGUGUACAAAAGAAUGUUACACUGACCAACGCAAUAGCCCAUUCAGCCUAGAUAUGAAGCUGGAAACGAAUUACAACAUAUGAAAUAAAAAGCAGAUGUUUUCCUCAACAGUCCGUCAAUUUGAAUUGGAUCUGGAAAUCGAUUACCAUAUGAACAAUAACGAUUACCAUAUCAACAAUAAAUAGUCCAGUGACAUGGAAUGAAACAAGUUAGUAAAGAAAAAGUGUUGAAUGAUGGGGAAAGAGACAGUGCGGUUUCCGUUACCGUCAGUCUGACUGAAGUAUACGAUAUCUGAAGACCUAUUAUUCAAGUUCUUCUUUGAAAACAGGUUACAUUCUGGUACUUGUAACAUGUGUAAAUGUUGAGUUCUGCUCAACCCGGGGCUAGAGGGCGUGGACGGUAGCUUGCACUACCGUCCAUGAACAGGCUCAAUCAAACCGAGCCUGCAACAUUUUUGUUUAUGUCGUGUUUGACCUGUGGUUUUCCACUUUUUUAUUUUGAACUUCCAGUAUUGCUAUUUUUACUUAAACCAGUCAGAGUACUUGUUUCAACAGCCAAUACAGUAAGCAUAGAAUGCAACCAGAAAAUAUAACAACACGGAAUCCAAGUACGGGGAGACAUUUUAUAACCACUACACAGCAGCUAAAGUCUGCUGCUGUGAUAGAAGAGUCUCAGUAUAACCACCUAACAAGACAGCACUGGACUCUUUAAUUCUGGAAAUUAAACAUUAAAAGUACGUUAGUCGUUCAAAAGCUGUGACAACUGUUAAACAGCUCUGGAAGAAUUGGAUUUUAAUCACUUACUUCUUCGUGUAAAGGUUUUAUCGCAAUAAUAUUUCCUGGAAACAUUUUACUAUUGAGAUAAAUCUUUUCAGUAAAUUUCGCUCUAUCAAGAUAAAUUUUAAAGUAUCACGAUAGCUACCUAGCUAUCACGUGGCAGAAAUAUGCCACCAUAGAUGUUUAGUACUUCCGCGAAAUGCGAUAAAAGCUCUACCAGACAUGUUUAAUGGGUUUUGAACCUAAAGCGGGAUUUUUAUCAGAUAUUAAGAAUGUGUACAGGUAUUAAGCUUGAAGCAAGUGAAAGAUAUUAAUGUAGCCGAUGUACAAAUGUCAGACUGAAAUUCAGUUUUCUUUGGUUGUUGAAGGAGUAUAUAAUUGUAUGUGAAUCGAAGUGCCUUCUUUUCAGUUCUACAAAUCGAUUUUCACAAUUUAAUAUACAAAAUGUAUCCAUAGGAAAAGCUUAUAGGUGGUAAACCCGUAUCGAAUCGACAUGUUCCGCGGUCAGUAGUAGCAAGCUGGGCAGUUAGGUAAUUAAACUCGGAAAUCAAAAUAAAAAUGAAAAAUUAUUACACAAUAUUUAACAUCUACAGCAUAUUUAUAGUGAAGAUGCCAUUUAGCAAAAAUGCUUAUUUUUCAACAACUUUCUACUUGCUUUAUAAAAAUAAAAGUUAACAAUUGUUGAAAACUAUGUUACACCUAGUUAUGUGAUAUUUCAGUAUAGGGACUUUAUUCCAAAAGCAUCAAAAUGAAGAUGAGUAACAGUUUGUUUUUUAAAAAUGCUGAACUGUCAAAAUGUGUGGCCAGUUUAUGCAAUACUUUUCCUGAAAUUCAAAGUAUAAUUACAUCAGUAAAUUGGCAAUCGUUUUGUAGAGUAAUAUACGUUUUUAUAUGAUGUUAUAUUGCCAUGCAAAACAGCUCUUUCUUUCUUUGGUUGGUGUGGUUUCAUUUGUUAUCCAAAAUAUAGACAUAGCCGUUAA